UUACGGCCAUAUCACGUUCAGACAACAGUUCUCAUGCGAUCACCAAAGUUAAGCAACGUAGAGCAUGGUCAUUACCUAGAUGGGCGACCUCUUGGGAAUACCCGGUGCUGUAAGC